CACGCAGGCGGUUUCUUAAGUCAGAUGUGAAAGGCCACAGCUCAACUGUGGACAUGCAUUUGAAACUGAGAGACUUGAGUAUUGGAGAGGCAAGUGGAAUUCCUAGUGUAGCGGUGAAAUGCGUAGAUAUUAGGAGGAACACCGGUGGCGAAGGCGGCUUGCUGGACAAAUACUGACGCUGAGGUGCGAAAGCGGUGGGGAGCAAACA
rnacentral:rRNA from 1 species